CCUACGGGGUGCAGCAGUGGGGAAUAUUGCACAAUGGGCGCAAGCCUGAUGCAGCCAUGCCGCGUGUAUGAAGAAGGCCUUCGGGUUGUAAAGUACUUUCAGCGAGGACGAAGGCAUUAAGGUUAAUAACCUUGGUGAUUGACGUUACUCGCAGAAGAAGCACCGGCUAACUCCGUGCCAGCAGCCGCGGUAAUACGGAGGGUGCAAGCGUUAAUCGGAAUUACUGGGCGUAAAGCGCACGCAGGCGGUCUGUCAAGUCGGAUGUGAAAUCCCCGGGCUCAACCUGGGAACUGCAUUCGAAACUGGCAGGCUAGAGUCUUGUAGAGGGGGGUAGAAUUCCAGGUGUAGCGGUGAGAUGCGUAGAGAUCUGGAGGAAUACCGGUGGCGAAGGCGGCCCCCUGGACAAAGACUGACGCUCAGGUGCAAAAGCGUGGGGAGCAAACAGGAUUAGAUACCCUUGUAGUC
rnacentral:rRNA from 1 species